rnacentral:rRNA from 1 species
UAUUGGACAAUGGGCGAAAGCCUGAUCCAGCAAUACCGCGUGUGUGAAGAAGGCCUUAGGGUUGUAAAGCACUUUCAAUUGGGAGGAAAACCUACCGGUCAAUACCCGGUAGCUUGACAUUACCUUUAGAAGAAGCACCGGCUAACUCCGCGCCAGCAGCCGCGGUAAUACGGAGGGUGCGAGCGUUAAUCGGAAUUACUGGGCGUAAAGCGUACGCAGGCGGUUUGUUAAGCGAGAUGUGAAAGCCCCGGGCUCAACCUGGGAACUGCAUUUCGAACUGGCAAACUAGAGUGUGAUAGAGGGUGGUAGAAUUUCAGGUGUAGCGGUGAAAUGCGUAGAGAUCUGAAGGAAUACCGAUGGCGAAGGCAGCCACCUGGGUCAACACUGACGCUCAUUACGAAA